rnacentral:rRNA from 1 species
GACGAACGCUGGCGGCGUGCUUAAAACAUGCAAGUCGAACGAGCACUUCGGUGCGAGUGGCAAACGGCUGAGUAACGCGUGGGUGACCUGCCUCGAAGUGGGGAAUAACUGCCCGAAAGGGUGGACUAAUACCGCAUGUGAUGGAUGAUCCAUUUCAUUCAUUAAAGCCGCAAGGCGCUUGGAGAGGGGCCCGCGUCCGAUUAGCUAGUUGGUGGGGUAAAGCCUACCAAGGCGUCGAUCGGUAGCUGGUCUAAGAGGAUGAUCAGCCAGACUGGGACUGCGACACGGCCCAGACUCCUACGGGAGGCAGCAGUUAGGAAUUUUGGGCAAUGGGCGAAAGCCUGACCCAGCGAACGCCGCGUGGGUG